UACAGAGGUCCCAAGCGUUGUUCGGAUUCAUUGGGCGUAAAGGGUGCGUAGGCGGCGCGGUAAGUCGGGUGUGAAAUCUCGGGGCUUAACUCCGAAACUGCAUUCGAUACUGCCGUGCUUGAGGACUGGAGAGGAGACUGGAAUUUACGGUGUAGCGGUGAAAUGCGUAGAUAUCGUAAGGAAGACCAGUGGCGAAAGGCGGGGUCUCUGGACAGUUCCUGACGCUGAGGCACGAAGGUCAGGGGGAGCAAACGGG
rnacentral:rRNA from 1 species